rnacentral:rRNA from 1 species
AUUGAACGCUGGCGGCAGGCCUAACACAUGCAAGUCGAACGGUAACAGGAAACAGCUUGCUGUUUCGCUGACGAGUGGCGGACGGGUGAGUAAUGUCUGGGAAACUGCCUGAUGGAGGGGGAUAACUACUGGAAACGGUAGCUAAUACCGCAUAACGUCGCAAGACCAAAGAGGGGGACCUUCGGGCCUCUUGCCAUCGGAUGUGCCCAGAUGGGAUUAGCUAGUAGGUGGGGUAACGGCUCACCUAGGCGACGAUCCCUAGCUGGUCUGAGAGGGUGACCAGCCACACUGGAACUGAGACACGGUCCAGACUCCUACGGGAGGCAGCAGUGGGGAAUAUUGCACAAUGGGCGCAAGCCUGAUGCAGCCAUGCCGCGUGUAUGAAGAAGGCCUUCGGGUUGUAAAGUACUUUCAGCGGGGAGGAAGGGAGUAAAGUUAAUACCUUUGCUCAUUGACGUUACCCGCAGAAGAAGCACCGGCUAACUCCGUG